GGUGGUCACUCACACUGGGACUGAGAUACGGCCCAGACUCCUACGGGGGGCAGCAGUCUAGAAGCUUCCACAAUGGACGAAAGUCUGAUGGAGCGACGCCGCGUGUGGGAUGACAGCCGUGAGGUUGUAAACCACUGUCAGCAGGGAAGAAUGCCUUGAUGGUGAAUCAGGCAGAGACGGUACCUGCAGAGGAAGCCCCGGCUAACUCCGUGCCAGCAGCCGCGGUAAUACGGAGGGGGCAAACGUUGUUCGGAUUUACUGGGCGUAAAGGGUGUCUAGGCGGUUCGAUUAGUCUGGUGUGAAAUAUCCUCGCUCAACGAGGAAGACGCAUUGGAAACUGUCGAGCUCGAGAGUGGAAGAGGCAGGUGGAAUUCCUGGUGUAGCGGUGGAAUGCGUAGAUAUCAGGAAGAACACUCGUGGCGAAGGCGGCCUGCUGGUCCAUUUCUGACGCUGAAGCACGAAAGCCAGGGGAGCGAACGGGAUUAGAUACCCCGGUAGUCCUGGCCGUAAACGUUGAACACUGGAUGUCGGGGGUAUCGACCCCCUCGGUGUCGGAGCUAACGCGUUAAGUGUUCCGCCUGGGGAGUACGACCGCAAGGUUGAAACUCAAAGGAAUUGACGGGGGCCCGCACAAGCGGUGGAGGAUGUGGUUUAAUUCGACGCAACGCGAAGAACCUUACCUGGGCUUAAACCGCAGGGUAAACCCUCUGAAAGGAGGGCUGCUUCGGCAAUCCUGUAGAGGUGCUGCAUGGCUGUCGUCAGCUCGUGUCGUGAGAUGUUGGGCUAAGUCCCGCAACGAGCGCAACCCUUGCUCUUAGUUACCAGCGCGUAAUGGCGGGGACUCUAAGAGGACUGCCCUCGCAAGGGGGAGGAAGGUGGGGAUGACGUCAAGUCCUCAUGGCCCUUAUGUCCAGGGCUACACACGUCCUACAAUGGCCGGUACAAAGGGCUGCAAGCUCGCGAGAGUUAGCUAAUCCCAAAAAGCCGGUCCCAGUUCGGAUUGCAGUCUGCAACUCGACUGCAUGAAGGUGGAAUCGCUAGUAAUCGUGGAUCAGCAUGCCACGGUGAAUACGUUCCCGGGCCUUGUACACACCGCCCGUCACAUCACGAAAGUCGGUGGUACCGGAAGUCGCUGAGCCAACCCGCAAGGGAGGCAGGCGCCGAUGGUAUG
rnacentral:rRNA from 1 species